rnacentral:rRNA from 1 species
AGGGGAGCUUGCUCCCUGGGUGACGAGCGGCGGACGGGUGAGUAAUGUCUGGGAAACUGCCUGAUGGAGGGGGAUAACUACUGGAAACGGUAGCUAAUACCGCAUAACGUCGCAAGACCAAAGAGGGGGACCUUCGGGCCUCUUGCCAUCAGAUGUGCCCAGAUGGGAUUAGCUAGUAGGUGGGGUAAUGGCUCACCUAGGCGACGAUCCCUAGCUGGUCUGAGAGGAUGACCAGCCACACUGGAACUGAGACACGGUCCAGACUCCUACGGGAGGCAGCAGUGGGGAAUAUUGCACAAUGGGCGCAAGCCUGAUGCAGCCAUGCCGCGUGUGUGAAGAAGGCCUUCGGGUUGUAAAGCACUUUCAGCGAGGAGGAAGGUGGUGAACUUAAUACGUUCAUCAAUUGACGUUACUCGCAGAAGAAGCACCGGCUAACUCCGUGCCAGCAGCCGCGGUAAUACGGAGGGUGCAAGCGUUAAUCGGAAUUACUGGGCGUAAAGCGCACGCAGGCGGUUUGUUAAGUCAGAUGUGAAAUCCCCGGGCUCAACCUGGGAACUGCAUUUGAAACUGGCAAGCUAGAGUCUCGUAGAGGGGGGUAGAAUUCCAGGUGUAGCGGUGAAAUGCGUAGAGAUCUGGAGGAAUACCGGUGGCGAAGGCGGCCCCCUGGACGAAGA